rnacentral:rRNA from 1 species
CCUACGGGGCGCUGCAGUCGAGAAUCAUUCACAAUGGGGGAAACCCUGAUGGUGCGACGCCGCGUGGGGGAAUGAAGGUCUUCGGAUUGUAAACCCCUGUCAUGUGGGAGCAAAUUAAAAAGAUAGUACCACAAGAGGAAGAGACGGCUAACUCUGUGCCAGCAGCCGCGGUAAUACAGAGGUCUCAAGCGUUGUUCGGAAUCACUGGGCGUAAAGCGUGCGUAGGCUGUUUCGUAAGUCGUGUGUGAAAGGCGCGGGCUCAACCCGCGGACGGCACAUGAUACUGCGAGACUAGAGUAAGGGAGGGGGAACCGGAAUUCUCGGUGUAGCAGUGAAAUGCGUAGAUAUCGAGAGGAACACUCGUGGCGAAGGCGGGUUCCUGGACAUUAACUGACGCUGAGGCACGAAGGCCAGGGGAGCGAAAGGGAUUAGAUACCCCUGUAGUC